rnacentral:rRNA from 1 species
AAUGGGCGCAAGCCUGAACCAGCCAUCCCGCGUGAAGGAAGAAGGCGCUAUGCGUUGUAAACUUCUUUUCCGGAGGAAUAAAAUCUUGUACGCGUACAGGACUGAAGGUACUCCGGGAAUAAGCAUCGGCUAACUCCGUGCCAGCAGCCGCGGUAAUACGGAGGAUGCAAGCGUUAUCCGGAUUUAUUGGGUUUAAAGGGUGCGUAGGCGGAUUAAUAAGUCAGCGGUGAAAACCUUCAGCUUAACUGGAGACUUGCCAUUGAUACUGUUAGUCUUGAGUAUGGUUAAGGUAGGCGGAAUGUGUAAUGUAGCGGUGAAAUGCUUAGAUAUUACACAGAACACCAAUUGCGAAGGCAGCUUACUGAGCCAUAACUGACGCUGAUGCACGAAAGCGUGGGGAGCGAA